GCUGGGCAUGGUAGUGCACGCCUGUAGUCCCAGCUACUGGGGAGGCUGAGGCAGGACAAUCGCUUGAACCCAGGAGGCAGAGGUUGCAGUGAGUCGAGAUCAUGCCACUGCACUCCAGCCUGAGCGACAGAGCGAGACUCUGUCUCAAGAAAAAAAUAAAAUAAAGUGUGUGUGUGUGUCUGUGUGUGUGUGUGUGUGUGUGUGUGUGUGUUGGAGUGCAGUGGCAUGAUCUCUGCUCACUGCAACCUCUGCCUCCUAGGUUCAAGCGAUUCUCCUGCCUCAG
rnacentral:SRP_RNA from 2 species